CUAUGCGCCUUGCCAGCCCGCUCAGGUGUGCCAGCAGCCGCGGUAAUACGUAGGGAGCAAGCGUUGUCCGGAAUUACUGGGCGUAAAGGGCGCGUAGGUGGGCGCUUAAGUCAGGUGUGAAAACUCCAGGCUCAACCUGGAGACUGCACUUGAAACUGGGUGUCUUGAGGGCAGGAGAGGAAAGUGGAAUUCCUAGUGUAGCGGUGAAAUGCGUAGAUAUUAGGAGGAACACCAGUGGCGAAGGCGACUUUCUGGACUGUACCUGACGCUGAGCGCGAAAGCGUGGUAGCGAACGGG
rnacentral:rRNA from 1 species